GACGAACGCUGGCGGCGUGCUUAACACAUGCAAGUCGAACGGAAAGGCCCUGCUUUUGUGGGGUGCUCGAGUGGCGAACGGGUGAGUAACACGUGAGUAACCUGCCUUUGACUUUGGGAUAACUUCAGGGAACUGGGGCUAAUACCGGAUAGGAGCUCCUGCUGCAUGGUGGGGGUUGGAAAGUUUCGGCGGUUGGGGAUGGACUCGCGGCUUAUCAGCUUGUUGGUGGGGUAGUGGCUUACCAAGGCUUUGACGGGUAGCCGGCCUGAGAGGGUGACCGGCCACAUUGGGACUGAGAUACGGCCCAGACUCCUACGGGAGGCAGCAGUGGGGAAUAUUGCACAAUGGGCGGAAGCCUGAUGCAGCAACGCCGCGUGCGGGAUGACGGCCUUCGGGUUGUAAACCGCUUUCGCCUGUGACGAAGCGUGAGUGACGGUAAUGGGUAAAGAAGCACCGGCUAACUACGUG
rnacentral:rRNA from 1 species